UUUUCUCAUACCCAUGCUGGUAUCCAUUUCUGUAUAUGUAAUCAAUUUCUUGGAUAAGGUCCCUUUUUUCAGUAGUGUAAACCUCAUCUCUCUUAAAGAAAAACCUGAAAGCCACCCUCUUAAACUUUACAGGGUCAUGGGAUCAUUUAGGGAUGAGGACAGGACGGUAUAUUGGUUUUCUGUAGACCUUGGUCUUUUUACGUAUUUUUUUAAAAACAAAAUUAGUUCUAAACUCUUGAAGCCAUGUGUGUUCUGAUAUUUUAUUUUGUUCUAAAGUGUUCAUUUAAAAAAGAGAGUGUAUGCUGAAGAGUCUCUUAGAAAGGCCAAAAACGUUUUAUAAUAAAAAAUAUCUUCUGUUAUAGUAAUGCCUGUGUCAAAAAAUAUUAAUAUUAAUGUUAAGUUCUUGCUUUUUAUCUUAUUAGCAUAAGUAGAAAAAUUCAAAUUGCCUAUUAGCUUCAAAAUGAUCACUGAAAGAAAAGCGCUCAAGGGCGGUUUUAUAAAAGUGGAACCUUUUUAAUAGAAAAACUUUAAAACACUUUGGUCAAACUUAUGAUCAUCUUCAGCUACUAUAUAGGAAAUACA
rnacentral:lncRNA from 1 species